GCUCCGGUAGCUUAGUUGGUUAGAGCGCCGUACUUAUAAUGCGGAGGUCGAGAG
rnacentral:tRNA from 1 species